UUGGAAGUCCUUAUUACAUGGCUCCAGAGGUGCUAAAGAGAAACUAUGGCCCAGAGGUUGAUGUUUGGAGUGCAGGAGUGAUUCUGUACAUUCUUCUUUGUGGUGUCCCCCCAUUCUGGGCAGAAACGGAACAGGGUGUUGCUCAGGCAAUCAUUCGAUCUGUCAUUGAUUU